rnacentral:rRNA from 1 species
CGAUAAGCCUGCGAUCAUGGGGCGCGCUCUGCGCGCACCGGCGGACGGCUCAGUAACACGUCGGUAACCUACCCUCGGGAGGGGGAUAACCCCGGGAAACUGGGGCUAAUCCCCCAUAGGCCUGGGGUACUGGAAGGUCCCCAGGCCGAAAGGGGCUCUGCCCGCCCGAGGAUGGGCCGGCGGCCGAUUAGGUAGUUGGUGGGGUAACGGCCCACCAAGCCGAAGAUCGGUACGGGCCAUGAGAGUGGGAGCCCGGAGAUGGACACUGAGACACGGGUCCAGGCCCUACGGGGCGCAGCAGGCGCGAAACCUCCGCAAUGCGGGCAACCGCGACGGGGGGACCCCCAGUGCCGUGGCACAGCCACGGCUUUUCCGGAGUGUAAAAAGCUCCGGGAAUAAGGGCUGGGCAAGGCCGGUGGCAGCCGCCGCGGUAAUACCGGCGGCCCAAGUGGUGGCCGCUAUUAUUGGGCCUAAAGCGUCCGUAGCCGGGCCCGUAAGUCCCUGGCGAAAUCCCACGGCUCAACCGUGGGGCUUGCUGGGGAUACUGCGGGCCUUGGGACCGGGAGAGGCCGGGGGUACCCCUGGGGUAGGGGUGAAAUCCUAUAAUCCCAGGGGGACCGCCAGUGGCGAAGCGCCCGGCUGGAACGGGUCCGACGGUGAGGGACGAAGGCCAGGGGAGCGAACCGGAUUAGAUACCCGGGUAGUCCUGGCUGUAAAGGAUGCGGCUAGUGUCGGACGAACUUCAGCUC